UGGACAGAUUAUUGUAUCCGACUUUAUUCACAGCGUGACACUGUUUUUAAACGGAAAGUGAAUCAAUUAGCAUAAUAGACUUCU
rfam:Nicotiana attenuata strain TT chromosome 6, whole genome shotgun sequence.